CUUGCAUAUCAAUAAGCGGAGGAAAAGAAACCAACCGGGAUUGCCCUAGUAACGGCGAGUGAAGCGGCAAGAGCUCAAAUUUGAAAGCUGGCCCCCUCGGGGUCCGCAUUGUAAUUUGCAGAGGAUGCUUCGGGAACGGCCCCCAUCUAAGUGCCCUGGAACGGGCCGUCAUAGAGGGUGAGAAUCCCGUCUGGGAUGGGGUGGCCGCGCCCGUGUGAAGCUCCUUCGACGAGUCGAGUUGUUUGGGAAUGCAGCUCUAAUUGGGUGGUAAAUUUCAUCUAAAGCUAAAUAUUGGCCGGAGACCGAUAGCGCACAAGUAGAGUGAUCGAAAGAUGAAAAGCACUUUGAAAAGAGAGUUAAACAGCACGUGAAAUUGUUGAAAGGGAAGCGCUUGCGACCAGACUCGCCCGCGGGGUUCAGCCGGCACUCGUGCCGGUGUACUUCCCCGCGGGCGGGCCAGCGUCGGUUUGGGCGGCCGGUCAAAGGCCUCUGGAAGGUAACGCCUCUCGGGGCGUCUUAUAGCCAGGGGUGCCAUGCGGCCUGCCCGGACCGAGGAACGCGCUUCGGCUCGGACGCUGGCAUAAUGGUCGUAAGCGACCCGUCUUGAAACCACGGGACCA
rnacentral:rRNA from 1 species